rnacentral:rRNA from 1 species
AUUGAACGCUGGCGGCAUGCCUAACACAUGCAAGUCGAACGGCAGCACGGGAGCUUGCUCCUGGUGGCGAGUGGCGGACGGGUGAGUAAUGCAUAGGAAUCUGCCCAGUAGCGGGGGACAACUUGGGGAAACUCAAGCUAAUACCGCAUGCGCCCUACGGGGGAAAGCGGGGGACCUUCGGGCCUCGCACUAUUGGAUGAGCCUAUGUCAGAUUAGCUUGUUGGUGGGGUAACGGCCUACCAAGGCGACGAUCUGUAGCUGGUCUGAGAGGACGAUCAGCCACACUGGGACUGAGACACGGCCCAGACUCCUACGGGAGGCAGCAGUGGGGAAUAUUGCACAAUGGGCGAAAGCCUGAUGCAGCAAUGCCGCGUGUGUGAAGAAGGCCUGCGGGUUGUAAAGCACUUUCAGUAGGGAGGGAAACAGUAGCCGGUUAAUAUCCGGUUGCCUUGACGUUACCUACAGAAGAAG